rnacentral:lncRNA from 1 species
CAGCCUUCACCUAUGCUCUGAAACUGCACCUCAGAUCUGAGAAAAAUGUGCCCGCCUGGUCCUUGACUUAGAUAUCACUAAAGAUCUGGCCAUCAGCCUCUUCCUGAUGCCAGACACAAGUCAGGUGAGUAACCUGCUUCUCCAGUUGGGCAGGACUUUGGGAUUCCCCUGGAUGAGACUCCUGGGUAGGAUAGAUCCCCUGAUAUUACUGUUGGAUCACACCGAAUGAGAUAACCAAAUUUUCCUUCUCAUGGUGCCACUUACAAAGGGCUUCUGAAUAAUUAUCUGUUUGAUCCUUACACCAACCCUAGGAGGUGAAGCUACUAAUGUUAUCCCCAAUUUAAAGAUGUGAAAACUGAGACUCACGGAAACUAGGUGACUUGUCUAGGGUCACACAGCCAGGAAACGUCAAGGACCGGCUCUUCAGGGAAGGACAUCCCCACAACCAGGACCCCUGGCAAAGAGGAAUUAAAGACCCAGUUGUGUUGUGAUGUUCAUUAUUCAGAUCUCGGAGCGCUCACGGAUCUCUUGGAUGUCCCCUGCCAGCUCAACUGAUGAGACUGCUACUUUAUGUACCACUGCUUGAAAAAGAAGGGAAUCUCCUAUUUCUCACACAGGAUAACAGUUGAGAGUCAUUGCCACAAUAAAACAGACAUGUUAGCGGUCAGGUUCAUAUAAGGACUAAGCGGCCCCAUGAAUCACAUAGGACUGGCUAAUCCUAGGACACUCCUCUCUGUGGUUUGCUAGGUAGCAGAGAGGGGAAGCUAAAUAGUAGUUUCUAAUAACAACUGGGAAGGCUUUUUCUUUUUAAAUAAAAAUGGAAUUGGCAUAAUUGGGAAUGAAGAUAAAGCUUGGAACCAAGUUAGAGAAGGCAAAGUGUACGUAGAAGAGCUGUUACAAAUAUAAAACUUGGCUGCGUUCUUUGUGAAGGCUCAAACUUGGGAAGGUUAAAUACCAUAAAUUUUUUCAUUUGUUCUGUAUUUUGAUCCUGAAAAGAAAGCUGGCUUUGCCCAUGUAUUACUUUAAAAACUUGGGGGAAAGGAGAAGAAAGGGACAAGUUUUUAAAAACUGUUUGAAAACAUUACAGCUGAAAGAAGCUACAUAGGAGCUGGGUAGAGAACCUAGUGACUAAGAGAAUGAGGAAUGCCGAGUACGCAUCCUGUGGGCGGGGCUCUACCCUUGCCGCUUUCAGGUACGGGAAUCUUGACACCAAACAUGUUCUCACAUGCAUGGUGGUGUGAAUGAUUUGAAGGAAUUUGUAGUUAGUAUAAGGAAGAACCUGGAACAUGUUUAAUGAUUUACCCCAGGAGAUCAUAAUAAACAAUGUAAAAUUUGGGAGACAUCUCUGAGUUCCCUGGCUCUUGCAGAAUUCAGCUGGGCAGUCAGAACCAGUACUGUGCCCUCGGGUAUGUCUCUGGAAGUCCCAGGAAGAUAAGAGAUAUCUAGACAUGAGACUUGGUUGAGGCAACCCUACUCACCAGCUAUGCUCCCAAUCAAAAUGCCCUCCUUCUAAUUCUAUUAGAAUUAUUCCCACACUUACUGCAUUCUCAUAUUCUCAGAAGCACGCACACACACACACACAAACAACCUUCCAUGCUUCCAAGUUUAAAUGACUCCUGUUAACUCCUAGUUGCCUUUAAGGGCUCAGCCAAAACCUCACCUUUUCAGGGGCCCCCUUGAUUCCUCAAACAUGGUCAGGGCCACCCAUGGACUCUGAUACUGCCCUAUAGACCUCUCAGUGGCACUCAUAGCACUUCCUUUGUCCCCAUCUCAGCGUGUUUUGUCUGAUCCCACAAUGCAGGUAUGGAUGCCCGUCCACCCCAAUAUACCUCUCACUGGAUUCUCUUGGCCUUGCAGGCAUCUUGGGGUGGUCAGUGGAAGGAUCCCCAGAAGGAUGUGGAGGCUGUGUGCCUCCUAGGUGGAAGUGGGAAUCAAGCUGGGCAUUGGAACCAUGGGGAUUGGGCUUAGAGAAGAAAGUCGCUGAUUUUGUGAGCUCAACCACACAGCACCAUCUUCCCAGCAGUGAUAAGGCCUCUGAUGGAGAGCUGCUAAGGUGCUGUGAAGUCCAGACACUAAGCCUGUGAACUUGGGUCCCUCAAUGGGGGCUUGCCAUAGUCAAGCAUAGAAGGAGGGGCUCCUCCACAGAGGCCAGCCCCUGUGGGAGCCACCCAGUCUGAGGAAUAGGGCUCUAUCUCAUUUUCCUGGAUGACAUCACCCAGGAAUAGCAGGGAUCAAUGGAUGAACAUCAACAGCCUGGGCUUCUCAAGCCAGAUUUAAUUUUUCAAGCCAGAUUUAAAAGGUCUUUUCUUUCAUCUAAAUUUAUAACUAUUAUGCCCAUAGCACAAGUAUAAUUACAUAAGGACUUCCAAAAUUGUUAGUUUUCAUGUCUACCUUCCUCUGUUAGAAGUGUAUAUACCUAGCACAAAGUCCAGAAGGUGCUUGAUUCUCAAUCAAUAUUCAUUCAAUGAAUGAGUGAACUAAUCCUUGAAACUCCUUAAAUCUUCCAAUAAUCCCAAGCCCUUUUGUUGGAACCUUUGACCAAAACAAAGUCAUAAAACCACCACUACCCCACAUGUCUUUGGGAACUAGUCUAUGUUAGCCCUGCAAGUCUGAAAGCUUAGCUUUGUUUUGUUUUGUUUUUAUUUUUAAAUUUUUUUUUUCCUACAGCGUCACUCUCAGGAUAUGACAGCAUCACUUUUGAAAAACAGGUUGUUGUUUUUUUUUUUAAAAAGGUAAGAAGACAACAAGGAGUCGGCCUCACACACUAUGGAUUAGAUUUCUUAAUCAAGUGUUCACCUUCCACCUCUCGUGGUCCUACCAUAUCACCCUUUUCUCUUGUGUUUUUCCAGAUUUAACUGCCUGAUCAAAUAGUUUUACAAGAAUAAACUCAGGAAACAGGUUGAGAAAUGAGCAGCUGAGACUGGAGUGUUCACUUUGCAAAGAACAUACUACGAAAAGAUCUGCACUCUAGGAGGUCUCAGCUGAUGAGGAAGAUGCUAGCACAGUGUCCUAUGGUCAGAAAAGAUGACCUGGCAAGAGGGGGAGUGGAGGAGAGGCAGGAAAGGGGAUCCCUUCAUGCUGAAAUCAAUGCAAUGAUGUCUGAUAUAUACAGAAAAACAGGUCUUGUAUAAAUAUGUCAUUAUAAGUGACAAGAUAAUAACAUUUUCUAGUGUAUGGAUUCUAUUUCUUUAUGUCAUUCUGGUCAACCAAAAACAAUCCUAUUUGGCAGAUUUCUGGCAUUUUGCCUCUUCCCCUAAUGACAGAUCUAAACACAUAUAUAAAAAUAGGUGGCCACAAAGAAAUAACUUCUGGCUUUAAAUGUCAUUUGGCUAGAAAUGUCUCAGGCAGCCUCUCCCAACUUUCCUGUGAUAUCUUUGAAAACAAAGAGAAAGACAAGAACUCAAAACAAGCACCAGAAACUUGACCCAAUCAAAGUCUUACCCAGAUUCUUGGAAGCAUUGUUCUUAAUUACAAGGCAAGAAACAUAGGAUUGAUACAAACCCAUCCAAAUUAUGCCUCAUGUAAUAGAAGUCAGUGGGAAGCCAGCUGCCCCUAUUUUCUUAGAGACACAGAGAUUCACGGUCUGUACCAACCAGAACACUAAGCGGGCACCCAUGUGCCAUGGAAGUCCUGCUUUUUGAGGAUGCCAGUACUACAUCUAUUUGGAGAUAGCACCUCCCAGGAAAUAACUGGCCAGGAAGUGUGUGUAUACGUGGGGGAGGGGUAGGAAGAAGGAGAACCAGCAAUUUGUACUGUAUCUUGGGAGGUGUAACUUUAACUUUACAAGCUAAACACUACAGGCAAGGGUGGAGACAGGAAGAUUCCUAAUAGCAGGACACUCUAUCAAUUGCAGUUUUGCAGGUGACUCUGUGGGUCACAAGAAUAGAGAACCAGAUGGGGAAUGUGCUACCUCAGUAGAAUGAAAAUGUUAUUUGGUGCAUGUCUGCUAGAAACUGAAAAUUGGUCUGGACUCAUGCAUGUCAACUUGUACUUCAGGUCUGAAAAGGGGAUGCAUAUGUAUAAAAUUCAACAGAAUGUACAAAUAAUUAAGAUUAAUAAGUGACCUGAGCAAGGAUGCAGAAUACAAGGUCAAUUAAUUUCUAUGUACUAGCAAUAAAUAAUUUUAAAUGAAGUAAAAAUACUAUAUACAACAUAAAAUCAUCAAAUAUUAAAGAAUAAAUACAAUAGAAUAUGUUUAAGAUCUCUACAUUGAAAACUAUAAAACACUGAAGGGAAAAUGUUUAAAAGACCAAAAUAAAUGGAGGAAUAUACCAUGUUUGUGGAUCAAAGCAUACAAUAUUGUUAAGACGUCAAUCCUCACUAAAUUCUAUUGUAAUCCCAAUCCAAAUCCCAAAUAUUCUUCUACAAUAUGGCUUUGCCACUGCCCCAUCAAUAGAAGUUUACUUUUUCUCUCUUUGAAUCUAGAUAGGCUUAUAUGCUUCAUGGCUUCCUCGGCAGGUGAUAAAUGGCAAUUCAGCUUCAACCUGGAUUACAGGAAUAGCCAUUGUUUUAGACUUCAACUGUCACGUAAGCAGUUCAGCUGAACUGAGGCACCAUGACGUGAGGAAGCCCAAAGUCAGCCUAUCUGGAGGGAUCACAUGGAGAGGUCCCAAGACUACACAAAAAGAAGAUGAUAUGAAUGCCUGGCCAGCCCCUAGCUGCUCUAGUUCCUUGCUGUUCCAGCUCCAGCCAUCAUCCAACUGCAACUGCAUGAGAGACCCCAGAAGCAUAGAGCUAAGCCCUUCCCAAAUUCCUUCCCACAGAAACCCUGAGAGAUAAUAAAUGACUGUUGUUGUUUUCAAUCACUGUUUUGAAAUUGGUUGUUAGGCAGCAAGAGAAGCCAGAACAGGGACCUUGGAAUACACAGAAUUUCUUAAUCAGGAUACAAAAAGAGCUAACCACAAGCUUUAAAAAAUGAUACAUUGGAUUUCAUUAAAAUUAAGAACUUCAGUUUAUCAGAAGAUACUACUUAUCAGAAGAGAGUGAGAAGGUAAGUGACAAAAUGGGAGAAGUUUUCACAAACCAUAUCUGACAAAAGGACUUGUAUACAGUAUGUAAAAGAAUGCCAAAAAGUAAGAAGAAAAAGACAACAAACAACCCAAUAAAGAUGUUCACAAAACCCUUAAACAGUCACUUUAUAAAAGAGAGUGUCUAAAUAGCUAAUAAGCAUAUAUCAAGUUUUCAAUAUUAUUAUUCAUCAGGAAAUAGGAAUUGAAACCACAAUGAGAAACCACCAUACACUCAUCAGAAUGGCUAAAAUCAAAACUAACAAGAGUAAGCAUUGGCAGUGAUGUGGAGAAAUUGGAACCUUUAUAUAUUGCGGAUGGUAGUAUAAAACAGUGUGACCGAUUUGGAAAAUUGUUUGGCAAUAUCCAUUAAGCUAAAUAUAGUUCUACCUUAUGACCCAGAUAUUUCACUGCUAGGUAUAUACCCACUAGAAAAGAGUUCAUAUGUUCACCAAAAGGUAUAUACAACAAUGUUCACAGCGCCUUAAUUAAU